UUCCCGCGCCUGCUGUGUCACUGAUAAGUAGACUUUGCCAGUUCAGACUGGCCGAGUUGCAGACACUUGUCAGGAACACCACCUUAUCUAUGUGCCGUGGCCUUUGUUUGCUCUCAUACUUGUACAUGCUGCACUGCAGGUCUUAGAACACCGAUGCUGUGGCAGCUAUAAAUCGAUGGAUGGAUGACAGGAAGUGUCUUAACUGGAACGGUGAAAAUAAGUUUAAAAGGAGGUGUAAUAUCAGGAAAAAAAGUUGUCUCUGACUGACGGGACUUUAUUCACCGACCCCUACACUCUCACUCACUCGAUGGACAGUUUGACCAAAGGAGGACACAGAGGGGGCGAAGUCUGGUCUGUCUUCAUCAACUGAAGCCUCUCCAGAAAAGAUAUUUCAAUAAGUUUCCUUCCACCUGCUUGGAGAGGGAAAGUGUUCAGUUGUAAUCUGCAACAUCACCACGAGAUGGCAUUAAAUUCAACAUGUUGGUCCUUUAACGUCAAAUAAACAGUUGCCUUUUUGUCUAGAGCAUGACCUGAGACGCAACAUGUGUAACAGAAGGAUGACACGUGAUGUUCAUGAGCCUCAAAGGAAAACAUUCUUCUCCUCUUUAAACUUAAUACAUAUUUGGAAAUCUACACUAAUCUACACAUAAAGGGUUAUGUGGCAUCUGUCAUCAAGGUGUACAGCGGCAUCUUCGUCAAAUGGAAAGAAUUCAACAAUUUGUAUUUCUCUCCAACUCCAUUUGUGUAAUUUAUGAUAUAUUUAGUGUCAGAGCUGAAAGAAGAGAGUGAAACAUCUUGAUCUUCGUCGUCGAUUACGACGUUUGUGUGAAAGCUGAACGUGGUGUGAAAACACGUCGCACCAAGGGUGACGGCUUUGGAUUCGACAGACUGUCGACAGGAGAAAACAAGCAGCACCUCUUAGUAACAGACUGUGGAAAUACCGCUAAUAUAUGCUGUUUUCUUCGUGCAGCACUUUAAAUGCCUGCUGUUAAAAGCCUGAGAUCCUCAGGGACCAGGCUGUUAAGGCUGCUCUGAGUCACCUCAGAAAACAAAACAACUCUAAAACUUUGCAAGCACUGUUCCAGAUAUUUUAGAUUUCUUCUUUUAAUGACAUAUAUAUGUGCAAAAGUACUUUUUCUGAAUAUUUUUUUAGUCUUUCUGAUAUAAUUAUUUUAAUCUCGUCUAGGUAGUUAUAGUCAACUCUCACAGUAAAACACAAUGAGUUUGUCCUUACAGCACCUUGGCUGCAGUCUUGCUAAAAGAGAAAAUCAACAACAGGAGACAAGCAAAACCAUAAGAGAAAAGCUACUGGAGAAUUACUUUACAAUCAAGCAGAUUCAAUCAAAGACUUCAGAAUACAAGAGAAAAACCAAGUCGCAUACAAUACUGAUACUGUAAUGCUGCGUCUGUGUAUGUUUUCUAUUUGUACAGUAGACAGAUGACUUCAUCUUAGAUUGUAAUACACACAGAUAACACAUGACUCAUUCACUUGGCGAGGCCAGUAAAAGAAGAAACUGCAGGAGCGACUUCAGCUCCAUGCAGCGUGUUCAGUCUUAAUAAAAUGAUGUCUGGGUACGGUGGGUCGAUCCUGCGAGGGACUUUGUUAAUGCUUUCCUAAUGACAUAAUGAAAAUGUUUUAUGUAAAGUGUUUCUAGAUGAGUAAGGAAGAACUGUCGGCCUGUGUGUGCAUCUGGUGACGUCAAUCUGUUUUGAUAAUAACAAAAGUUGGGUGUCACCUCAUGCAGGUCUGUCUCGCUGUCUGUCGGUCAGUGAGUAAAAGCUGAAUGGCAAUGUGCACUGAAGUAACCUGGUAAUUGUCUGUUGUGUGUUGUAACCCUGUUUCUUAAAUGUCAUGCAAACAAAAAAAAAAAAAAAAAAAAAAUUUUGCAACGUUUCCCAGGAAGGAGACUGUGUCCAAAACAAAUCCCGGUCUCACUGGAAUUGAAACGAUUUUGUAAAUAAGGUAGUUUCCACCACUUGUUGACAUCUGCAUAUGAAGUUUAAUUUCCCUGCUGUGACCAAGUACCGUACAUAUUGACAUUUCAUUUCAUUUCACAGAUUUUCAUCGAAUUAUGAAUUGCACUGAUCGUAUCCUUGUGACAACAAAUAAAACCAUCAAGCCACACCAAACCAGCUCUGACCAGACCGGAGAGCACUUCUAAGAACCCUGUAAUAAAAAAGGAUGUAGGCCUGCAAUCCCCCAUUGAUCAUUUGGAAAGCUUGUUUCUUUGAAAUAACUAUAUAACCCCCUCAUAAUGAAUUUCACACCGUUUCCCUCUGAACUGAGUGUGGACAUUCCUUCGUAUCCAAGGACAGUCACUGGGAACUAACUUUUACACCCACGAUAACAAUGGACGCUGGCGUCACGGUCCGAGGCGUGUUUGAUAAAAUCAUGCACUACAUGGGCCGUAUUUGUCAUGUCAAUGACCAGCCAAUAGACGAUGAGCGCUUUUGUGGAAUAAAGCAAUCGAAGGCCAAACGUAAACACACCCGCAUGCCUCGUGUCUGCUGCCUCACAUCCCUUUAGGGAGCUGGUUUACUGUAGUAAAACAGCCGAGAAGAGCAGCUGUUUUACGACGGCUUAUUACAGCACCGAUAUCUGUCACAUUGAAAGUCAGAUCACACAAGUACACAAAAACAGUCUCUUGAGUACACACAGUUGUAUGUGUUUUAUAUUGUAAUAAUUUUAAUAUUUGCUCAGUUUGGAGCACGCCGAUGUAACACCUCUAGACGACUGACCAGUGAGUAAAAUCAACUCCACCGCAUACAGCAAAUCUUUAAUAGAGAGACACAUUUGCCAUAGACUCUCAGAUGUCAACAGCACCUAAUGUAUAUGCAGACUAACAAAUUCAAAGUGGACGUUCAGUGUGGGUGGCUCCAUGUCACCAUUUCGGCAGCACCUGACUCCAAAAACUCCACCUAACUCCUGACUAAUUUAAAAAUACUCAAAGAAGUAAAGCUGAAACUAACACCUAGGUGAUCAGACACCCUCCAGUCACUCGAAGUAUUCCCACCCUUGUUGCUGUUUAACUUAAAGCAUAAACAUUAGUUUAACUGGUCUAUAGAGAGCAGGCUGUAAACAUUUGCAAUAAUAUCGGUCACUGAAAAUUACUGCAUGCUAAUUAAGUAUUCCCUGAAGUUAACCAGGUCAGACUAUAUCAUGUGAGUCAACCCUAACAAUGACACAUACCAGCCUCUGUGUACAAGUCAAACUCAUUUAUAUUAAAGGUGCCUUGUGAAGUUUUUGUCCACUAGUAGCGCCAAAGAGCAAUGUUUGAAAAAGCUUUUAUUACACACAUUGCCAACCUUACAAGUGUGUUACGAGAAAAGAAAUACAAAAAGUCCUGUUCUUCAUCAGAUCUUAGAUCAGAUCAGACCUCCUUCUUCAUCUAGAAGUCUUUCUUUCUUUCUUUCUUUCUUUCUUUCUUUCUUUCUCUAAUUUUUCUCUGUUGUUAUGUCAGUUAUAUUCAUUCAUGAUCAUGUUCCCCUUUGCUGCUGUUUUCCCUUUUCUUUAUUUUUUUGUAUUCCUUUUUUUUUCCUCUACACAUAUAAUUAAGAACUGAUUCUGAGUUUCAAGAUAAGGGGUACAACUAGAAAAGUCACUGACUUCAUCCUACUCUUUUUGAAUAAAACAAAACACUCAUACUUGUA